rnacentral:rRNA from 1 species
UACGUAGGGGGCAAGCGUUGUCCGGAAUCAUUGGGCGGAAAGAGCGUGUAGGCGGCUCGAUAAGUCUGCUGUGAAAGUCCAGGGCUCAACCCUGGAAGGCCGGUGGAAACUGUCGGGCUAGAGUCCGGAAGAGGCGAGUGGAAUUCCCGGUGUAGCGGUGAAAUGCGCAGAUAUCGGGAGGAACACCAAUGGCGAAGGCAGCUCGCUGGGACGGUACUGACGCUAAGGCGCGAAAGCGUGGGGAGCGAACAGG